CCAGGUUUGUUGCAUCAGCCCAUCAAUUGGUGUGGAAGUUCCAUUAGUAAAUGAUUUAGGAUAUACAAAGGGGAUAUGUGCGCUGCCUACAGAUAUCAGAAGUGGUAAAUAUUAUGAAGGACUUGAUAGAUUACAGCAGAGAGACAGGGACUGGACCCAUGGUUGCCCCUACUGCAUAAAGAUCUUUUUGCAUCUGGAUUACGCAAGAGAUCCAGCGUUCUUCUGUACGAUCUUCUUGGAACUGGCGGAACAUUAUUAGCAAAAGCUGUUGCUACUGAAUGUGUUAACUUGAUAUUGGGAUAAUAACAAGUUCAAAUGGAAGCAUGCUUGGUCAGAUGUGAGAAACUGUAAUGUAACUAAAGAUCUUUUUACAAUUUUGAAAAAAAAAAGCUUUUAGUAGUUGUGUUUUCGCUGCUGUUGCCGCUGCCACCUCUCUUGGUUUGCUUCUGCUGUGGUACUGCUGUUGCUGCUAGGGUACAUAUUUAGUUUCUGCGGUGCUAGUUGACUACUAUCUUUAUUUUAGUUUAAUUUUAAAAAUUUCGACACCUUUUGUAGAGGCAACUACGUGAAUGUGAUCGUGGUUAUUUAUGUCCUAACCUCGUAUAACUUAUUAUUCUUUUUAUAACUUACUUGUUUUGUAAUAGAACCUCUAUCAUUAGAGGUCAUGUGAUCGUGGUU